GAUGAACGCUGGCGGCGUGCCUAAUACAUGCAAGUCGAGCGAACAGACGAGGGGCUUGCUCCUCUGACGUUAGCGGCGGACGGGUGAGUAACACGUGGAUAACCUACCUAUAAGACUGGGAUAACUUCGGGAAACCGGAGCUAAUACCGGAUAAUAUAUUGAACCGCAUGGUUCAAUAGUGAAAGACGGUUUUGCUGUCACUUAUAGAUGGAUCCGCGCCGCAUUAGCUAGUUGGUAAGGUAACGGCUUACCAAGGCAACGAUGCGUAGCCGACCUGAGAGGGUGAUCGGCCGCACUGGAACUGAGACACGGUCCAGACUCCUACGGGAGGCAGCAGUAGGGAAUCUUCCGCAAUGGGCGAAAGCCUGACGGAGCAACGCCGCGUGAGUGAUGAAGGUCUUCGGAUCGUAAAACUCUGUUAUUAGGGGAGAACAAAUGUGUAAGUAACUAUGCACGUCUUGACGGUACCUAAUCAGAAAGCCACGGCUAACUACGUG
rnacentral:rRNA from 1 species